rnacentral:rRNA from 1 species
CCUGCCAGUACCCAUAUGCUUCGUUCAAGGGCUACCCUUUGCAUGUCUCAAAGCAAAUGGUUAAAAACAGUGGGUCUGUGAAUGGCUCCUUACAUCACCAGUCACCUGGGUGGUAUUUCCAACACAGUGGAAAAUCCUCCAAAACCUGGGGGCUAAUACCCAAAUCAACUGGCCCACACAAAAGGAAGGGUGUACAAGUGUGCACUCUGUGUGUGGAGCUUGCUACCACCUUAAAUACAAACUGGCACCCACAACCUGAGCUUAUCAAAUUUGUACAGGGUAAAUUGUUGUUGACCCAGGCUGGUGACACUAAUACCUUUGGCACUCUUAAAUGGUGUUCAAUUACACCAUUUGCUUGAUCACCCGGCCUUCUGACCUAUCAGCUAAACUGUGGUGCAAUGGACCACAAUGGCACUUACGGGUAACGGGAAAUCAGGGUUCAACUCCGGAGAGGAACCCUGAAAAAUGGCUACCACUACCAAGGUGGGCAGCAGGCACGUAAAUUGCCCACUACAAACACAACCUGUGAAGGCCCAACGAA